rnacentral:lncRNA from 1 species
AAUUAUAUUACAAAAGUUGAUUUACACAAUAUCCAAUAGUCCACGGAACACAGCAAUAUAGUUUCAUAGAACAAGUUUUUGUCGAAGACAAUUGCACUCGCAAAAUCUGCCAUAAAGAAAGAUCCUUUUCACACCUGCUACAUACAGUAUUCCUGCAAUUCUAUGAAAUCUUACCUUUAUCCAAACGGAAACUUAAUAUCCUUCUUCAAAAAGAAAACACGAAAGCACAACCGCGUUUACAACAUAUAUUUCGAUCAAAUCCAAAGACCAAACUCGCUUCUUCCACAAGACUAAGCGCUUUUUAUGUUGGAAAAAGAAAUAAAAAAGGAUUGUGUCAGCUUCUUGUCCAAACCGUUUUACAAUUUCUCACUCAAUGGUUGUUGUCAAACUUGUUGUAUAUCUAUCAAGACAUGAACGUAUCGGGUUCCUUUCUGUUUUCCAUAAUUUGAAACAUAGCGUGGCCAACCUGACAGCUUGGAUUUU